GUAACGCGUGAGGAACCUGCCUCAAAGAGGGGGACGAACAGUUGGAAACGAACUGCUAAUACCGCAUAAGCCCACGGCUCGGCAUCGAGCAGAGGGAAAAGGAGUGAUCCGCUUUGAGAUGGCCUCGCGUCCGAUUAGCUGGUUGGUGAGGUAACGGCCCACCAAGGCGACGAUCGGUAGCCGGACUGAGAGGUUGAACGGCCACAUUGGGACUGAGACACGGCCCAGACUCCUACGGGAGGCAGCAUG
rnacentral:rRNA from 1 species